GGACAAGUCCGUCGGAGUGUGGUUAUUGUUGGAAGGGCAACCGACCAAUGAGGCCACCGUAAUCGUUCGGGGUGCCUUUAAUCGGGCGUCUCGGGCGGCCGACAUAGUUUACUUUGAACAAAUUAGAGUGCUCAAAGCAGGUGACUACCGCCUGAAUAGUACAGCAUGGAAUGAUGAAAGAGGACCUCGGUCUGAUUUUGCUGGUCUUUAACGGUCGGGCUUCGGCCCGGCCUAUGCAGACCCGAGGUAAUGGUCAAUAGAGACGGACGGGGGCAUCCGUACUGCGGCGACAGAGGUGAAAUUCUUGGACCGCCGCAAGACGAACGACAGCGAAGGCAUUUGCCAAGAAUGUUUUCCUUGAUCAAGAACGAAAGUUAGAGGUUCGAAGGCGAUCAGAUACCGCCCUAGUUCUAACCAUAAACGAUGCCAACUAGCGAUCUGCCGGUGUUACUCCCAUGACUCGGCGGGCAGCUUCCGGGAAACCAAAGUCUUUGGGUUCCGGGGGAAGUAUGGUUGCAAAGCUGAAACUUAAAGGAAUUGACGGAAGGGCACCACCAGGAGUGGAGCCUGCGGCUUAAUUUGACCCAACACGGGAAACCUCACCAGGCCCGGACACUGGAAGGAUUGACAGAUUGAGAGCUCUUUCUUGAUUCGGUGGGUGGUGGUGCAUGGCCGUUCUUAGUUGGUGGAGCGAUUUGUCUGGUUAAUUCCGAUAACGAACGAGACUCUAGCCUGCUAAAUAGGUGCCGGGUUUUUACAUCUCCUCGCAAGGGGAGAGUGGAGUGUGUGGUUGUCGGGAUCCUGGGCUGUGGUGGUCGUUUAGGCUGCGGGGGGCAACUCUCGUGGUCUGGGCGGCUGUCAUAGUUCACCCGGUGUACGCACACUUCGCGUCCGGCAUUUUUCUUCUUAGAGGGACAAGCGGCGUCCAGCCGCGUGACAGUGAGCAAUAACAGGUCUGUGAUGCCCUUAGAUGUCCUGGGCCGCACGCGCGCUACACUGAAGGAAUCAGCGUGUUAUUCAUCCCUGUCUGAAAAGACCGGGCAACCGCUGAACCUCCUUCGUGGUUGGGAUUGGGGACUGCAAUGAUCCCCAUGAACCAGGAAUCCCUAGUAGGCGCGGGUCACUAGCCCGCGUCGAUUACGUCCCUGCCCUUUGUACACACCGCCCGUCGCUACUACCGAUUGAAUGAUUUAGUGAGAACUUCAGACGGCUAUGUUUGUCCGGGGCAACCCGCGUCGAGCAGGGCUGAAAGAUGUUCAAACUUGAUCCUUUAGAGGAAGUAAAAGUCGUAACAAGG
rnacentral:rRNA from 1 species